AACCUCCGCAAUGUGAGAAAUCGCGACGGGGGGAUCCCAAGUGCCAUUCUUAACGGGAUGGCUUUUCAUUAGUGUAAAGAGCUUUUGGAAUAAGGGCUGGGCAAGACCGGUGCCAGCCGCCGCGGUAACACCGGCAGCUCUAGUGGUAGCAGUUUUUAUUGGGCCUAAAGCGUCCGUAGCCGGUUUAAUAAGUCUCUGGUGAAAUCCUGUAGCUUAACUGUGGGAAUUGCUGGAGAUACUAUUAGACUUGAGACCGGGAGAGGUUAGAGGUACUCCCAGGGUAGAGGUGAAAUUCUGUAAUCCUGGGAGGACCGCCUGUUGCGAAGGCGUCUAACUGGAACGGUUCUGACGGUGAGGGACGAAAGUUAGGGGCGCGAACCGGAUUAGAUACCCGGGUAGUCCUAACCGUAAACGAUGCGGACUUGGUGUUGGGGUGGCUUUGAGCUGCUCCAGUGCCGAAGGGAAGCUGUUAAGUCCGCCGCCUGGGAAGUACGGUCGCAAGACUAAAACUUAAAGGAAUU
rnacentral:rRNA from 1 species